GACGAACGCUGGCGGCGUGCUCAACACAUGCAAGUCGAACGAUAAGGCGGUUUCGGCCGGGGGAGAGGGGCGCAGGGGAGUGUAACACGUGGGAAAUCCGCCCUACACUCGGGGAUACGCGCGGGAAAGGGGGUCAUAUCCAGGAUACGCACGUCCGAGGCAGCGUGGGGUGGGGAGAGUUUCCGCGGUGGGGGAUGAGCCCGCGGCCUAUCGGCUUGUUGGUGGGGUAAUGGCCUACCAAGGCGACGACGGGUAGCCGGCCUGAGAGGGUGACCGGCCACACUGGGACUGAGACACGGCCCAGACUCCUACGGGAGGCAGCAGUGGGGAAUAUUGCACAAUGGGCGCAAGCCUGAUGCAGCGACGCCGCGUGAGGGAUGACGGCCUUCGGGUUGUAAACCUCUUUCAGCAGGGAAGAAGCGAAAGUGACGGUACCUGCAGAAGAAGCACCGGCUAACUACGUG
rnacentral:rRNA from 1 species